rnacentral:rRNA from 1 species
GAAAGCUAGGGUAGCGAAACAGAUUAGAUACCUGUGUAGUCCUAGCCGUAAACGAUGUCCGCUAACUUUUGCCGACUUGUCGGCAGAGGUUCAAGCUAACGCAUUAAGCGGGACCGCCUGGGGAGUACGACCGCAAGGUUAAAACUCAAAGGAAUUGACGGGGACCCGCACAACUGGUGGAGCGUGUGGUUUAAUUUGAGACGAAGCAAAAAACCUUACCAGGGUUUGACAUGAUACCGUUUUAUGCCUAUGGAAACACUGGCAGAUCCGCAAGGAUGGUACCACAGGUGCUGCAUGGCUGUCGUCAGCUCGUGUCGUGAGAUGUUCCCUUAAGUGGGGAAACGAGCGCAACCCCCGUGAAAUGUUACAUAUUCAUUUCAGACGGUCCCGAUCAUAUCGGGAAGGAAGGAGGGGAAGACGUCAAGUCAGCAUGGUCCUUACACCCUGGGAUACACACACCCUACAAUGGCGAACAACAAAGGGCUGCAAGCCAGCAAUGGCAAGCUGAUCCCAGAAAUUUCGCCUCAGUUCAGAUUGGGGGCUGCAACCCGCCCCCAUGAAGUCGGAAUCAGUAGUAAUCGCGGAUCAGAAGGCCGCGGUGAAUACGUUCUCGGGUCUUGUACACACCGCCCGUCAAGGCAGCAAAGUCGGGAGUGGAUGAAGGCUAUCGAAAGAUGGACGAGUCCAAGCUUGGCGAUGAAGCUUAAGUCGUAACAAGGUAACC